rnacentral:rRNA from 1 species
GAUUCCUACGGGAGGCAGCAGUGGGGAAUUUUGCACAAUGGGCGCAAGCCUGAUGCAGCAACGCCGCGUGAGUGAAGAAGGCCCUUGGGUUGUAAAGCUCUUUCGACUGGGAAGCAGGGGCUGCAAGUAAAUAAUUUGCAGUUCUGACUGUACCAGAUGAAGAAGCAUCUGCUAACUACGUGCCAGCAGCAGCGGUAAUACGUAGGAUGCGAGCGUUGUUCGGAAUUACUGGGCGUAAAGAGCACGUAGGUGGGUUCGCAAGACGAUUGUGAAAGCCCGAGGCUUAACUUCGGAAUUGCAGCCGAAACUGCGAGUCUUGAAUACCUGAGAGGGUGGCGGAAUUCCUGGUGUAGAUGUGAAAUUCGUAGAUAUCAGGAGGAACACCGGCGGCGAAGGCGGCUGCCUGGCAGUGUAUUGACGCUGAGGUGCGAAAGUGCGGGGAGCAAACAGGAUUAGAUACCCUGGUAGUCCGCACCAUAAACGAUGGAUACUAGGUGUUCGGAGUGUUAACCCUCUGAGUACCGAAGCUAACGCAUUAAGUAUCCCGCCUGGGGAGUACGGUCGCAAGGCUAAAACUCAAAGGAAUUGAC